AGAAUCAACGCUGGCGGCGUGCCUAACACAUGCAAGUCGCACGAGAAAGGGUAGCAAUACCUGAGUACAGUGGCGCACGGGUGAGUAACACGUGAAUUAUCUACCUCCGAGUGGGGAAUAACUGAGAGAAAUCUUAGCUAAUACCGCAUAACACUUACGAGUCAAAGCAGCAAUGCGCUUGGAGAGGAGUUCGCGGCAGAUUAGUUAGUUGGCGGGGUAAUGGCCCACCAAGACGAUGAUCUGUAUCCGGCCUGAGAGGGGCGCGACGGACGACGACCUGGAACUGAAACACGGUCCAGACUCCUACGGGAGGCAGCAGUGGGGAAUUUUGCGCAAUGGGGGAAACCCUGACGCAGCAACGCCGCGUGGAGGAUGAAAUAUCUUGGUAUGUAAACUCCUUUCGAUUGGGAAGAUUAUGACGGUACCCAUAGAAGAAGCCCGGCUAACUUCGUGCCAGCAGCCGC
rnacentral:rRNA from 1 species